GCACAAGCGGUGGAGCAUGUGGUUUAAUUCGACGCAACGCGAAGAACCUUACCUGGGCUCGAAAUGUUAUGGACCGGAGUGGAAACAUUCCUUUCCCGCAAGGGACCAUAAUAUAGGUGCUGCAUGGCUGUCGUCAGCUCGUGUCGUGAGAUGUUGGGUUAAGUCCCGCAACGAGCGCAACCCUUAUCUUCAGUUGCUACCAUUUAGUUGAGCACUCUGACGAAACCGCCUCGGAUAACGGGGAGGAAGGUGGGGAUGACGUCAAGUCCUCAUGGCCUUUAUGUCCAGGGCUACACACGUGCUACAAUGGUCGGUACAAACCGUCGCAAACCCGUGAGGGGGAGCUAAUCGGAAAAAGCCGACCUCAGUUCGGAUCGUAGUCUGCAACUCGACUACGUGAAGCUGGAAUCGCUAGUAAUCGCGGAUCAGAAUGCCGCGGUGAAUACGUUCCCGGGC
rnacentral:rRNA from 1 species